rnacentral:rRNA from 1 species
UAGGGAAUCUUCGGCAAUGGACGAAAGUCUGACCGAGCAACGCCGCGUGAGUGAAGAAGGUCUUCGGAUCGUAAAACUCUGUUGUUAGAGAAGAACAAGGACGUUAGUAACUGAACGUCCCCUGACGGUAUCUAACCAGAAAGCCACGGCUAACUACGUGCCAGCAGCCGCGGUAAUACGUAGGUGGCAAGCGUUGUCCGGAUUUAUUGGGCGUAAAGCGAGCGCAGGCGGUUUCUUAAGUCUGAUGUGAAAGCCCCCGGCUCAACCGGGGAGGGUCAUUGGAAACUGGAAGACUUGAGUGCAGAAGAGGAGAGUGGAAUUCCAGGUGUAGCGGUGAAAUGCGUAGAUAUAUGGAGGAACACCAGUGGCGAAGGCGGCUCUCUGGUCUGUAACUGACGCUGAGGCUCGAAAGCGUGGGGAGCAAACAGG